rnacentral:rRNA from 1 species
GACGAACGCUGGCGGCGUGCUUAACACAUGCAAGUCGAACGGAAAGGCCCUGCUUUUGUGGGGUGCUCGAGUGGCGAACGGGUGAGUAACACGUGAGUAACCUGCCCUUGACUUUGGGAUAACUUCAGGAAACUGGGGCUAAUACCGGAUAGGAGCUCCUGCUGCAUGGUGGGGGUUGGAAAGUUUCGGCGGUUGGGGAUGGACUCGCGGCUUAUCAGCUUGUUGGUGGGGUAGUGGCUUACCAAGGCUUUGACGGGUAGCCGGCCUGAGAGGGUGACCGGCCACAUUGGGACUGAGAUACGGCCCAGACUCCUACGGGAGGCAGCAGUGGGGAAUAUUGCACAAUGGGCGGAAGCCUGAUGCAGCAACGCCGCGUGCGGGAUGACGGCCUUCGGGUUGUAAACCGCUUUCGCCUGUGACGAAGCGUGAGUGACGGUAAUGGGUAAAGAAGCACCGGCUAACUACGUGCCAGCAGCCGCGGUGAUACGUAGGGUGCGAGCGUUGUCCGGAUUUAUUGGGCGUAAAGGGCUCGUAGGUGGUUGAUCGCGUCGGAAGUGUAAUCUUGGGGCUUAACCCUGAGCGUGCUUUCGAUACGGGUUGACUUGAGGAAGGUAGGGGAGAAUGGAAUUCCUGGUGGAGCGGUGGAAUGCGCAGAUAUCAGGAGGAACACCAGUGGCGAAGGCGGUUCUCUGGGCCUUUCCUGACGCUGAGGAGCGAAAGCGUGGGGAGCGAACAGGCUUAGAUACCCUGGUAGUCCACGCCGUAAACGGUGGGUACUAGGUGUGGGGUCCAUUCCACGGGUUCCGUGCCGUAGCUAACGCUUUAAGUACCCCGCCUGGGGAGUACGGCCGCAAGGCUAAAACUCAAAGGAAUUGACGGGGCCCCGCACAAGCGGCGGAGCAUGCGGAUUAAUUCGAUGCAACGCGUAGAACCUUACCUGGGUUUGACAUGGAUCGGGAGUGCUCAGAGAUGGGUGUGCCUCUUUUGGGGUCGGUUCACAGGUGGUGCAUGGCUGUCGUCAGCUCGUGUCGUGAGAUGUUGGGUUAAGUCCCGCAACGAGCGCAACCCUUGUUCACUGUUGCCAGCACGUUAUGGUGGGGACUCAGUGGAGACCGCCGGGGUCAACUCGGAGGAAGGUGGGGAUGACGUCAAGUCAUCAUGCCCCUUAUGUCCAGGGCUUCACGCAUGCUACAAUGGCUGGUACAGAGAGUGGCGAGCCUGUGAGGGUGAGCGAAUCUCGGAAAGCCGGUCUCAGUUCGGAUUGGGGUCCGCAACUCGACCUCAUGAAGUCGGAGUCGCUAGUAAUCGCAGAUCAGCAACGCUGCGGUGAAUACGUUCCCGGGGCU